GCACGGAGUUAGCCGGGGCUUCUUCCCUCGAUACUGUCAGCCUGCCGACGUAUUAAGUCGGCAGGUAUUCAUCUCGGUCGAAGGGAGUUUACGACCCGAAGGUCUUCAUCCUCCACGCGGCGUUGCGUCGUCAGGCUUGCGCCCAUUGCGAACAAUUCCCUACUGCUGCCUCCCGUAGGAGUCUGGGCCGUGUCUCAGUCCCAGUGUGUCCGUCCGCCCUCUCAGGCCGGAUACCGAUCGAAGCCUUGGUGAGCCAUUACCUCACCAACUAGCUAAUCGGACGCGGGCCCCUCUCCAAGCGUCAGGUCUUGCGAUCCCCGACUUUGAUGUCCGUGUAUCCAAACACGGGAUGUCAUGCGGUAUUAGCCCUCCUUUCGGAAGGUUAUCCCCCACUCGAAGGUAGGUCGCCCACGCGUUACUCACCCGUUUGCCACUCUACUCAUCCCUUGCGGGACUUUCGCGUUCGACUUGCAUGUAUUAGGCACGCCGCCAGCGUUGAUU
rnacentral:rRNA from 1 species